rnacentral:rRNA from 1 species
CUAGCAUAUCAAUAAGCGGAGGAAAAGAAACCAACAGGGAUUGCCCUAGUAACGGCGAGUGAAGCGGCAAUAGCUCAAAUUUGAAAUCUGGCUCUUUCAGAGUCCGAGUUGUAAUUUGCAGAGGGCGCUUUGGCAUUGGCAGCGGUCCAAGUUCUUUGGAACAGGACGUCACAGAGGGUGAGAAUCCCGUACGUGGUCGCUAGCCUUUGCCGUGUAAAGCCCCUUCGACGAGUCGAGUUGUUUGGGAAUGCAGCUCUAAAUGGGAGGUAAAUUUCUUCUAAAGCUAAAUACUGGCCAGAGACCGAUAGCGCACAAGUAGAGUGAUCGAAAGAUGAAAAGCACUUUGGAAAGAGAGUCAAAUAGCACGUGAAAUUGUUGAAAGGGAAGCGCUUGCAGCCAGACUUGCCUGUAGUUGCUUAUCUGGACUUUUGUCCAGUGCACUCUUCUGCGGGCAGGCCAGCAUCAGUUUGGGCGGUUGGAUAAAGGUCUCUGUCAUGUACCUCUCUUCGGGGAGGCCUUAUAGGGGAGACGACAUGCAACCAGCCUGGACUGAGGUCCGCGCAUCUGCUAGGAUGCUGGCGUAAUGGCUGUAAGCGGCCCGUCUUGAAACACGGACCAAGGAGUCUAACAUCUAUGCGAGUGUUUGGGUGUCAAGCCCAGACGCGUAAUGAAAGUGAACGGAGGUGGGAACCUUUUAGGUGCACCAUCGACCGAUCCUGAUGUCUUCGGAAGGAUUUGAGUAAGAGCAUGGCUGUUGGGACCCGAAAGAUGGUGAACUAUGCUUGAAUAGGGUGAAGCCAGAGGAAACUCUGGUGGAGGCUCGCAGCGGUUCUGACGUGCAAAUCGAUCGUCAAAUUUGGGCAUAGGGGCGAAAGACUAAUCGAACUAUCUAGUAGCUGGUUCCUGCGAGU